UUACUUGGGUGGAAGUGAAACAGUCAGAAAAAAUGACCCCUCCCUUCUGAGGAGCUGUAAUGAUUAAAUUUGCAGUUUUCCCAACUCUUCAUAAUUCUAAAUUUAAAUGGAUUUCUCUGCAGAACAGAAAAUCUUCCUCCUGACAAAGCCAAACUGAUGUCCUUGGGAAGGUACUUCAGGGAAAGGUUGAGCCUUUACCUCGUUAAGCAAAUGGAGCUCAAUUUACUACCAUUGCAAUUCAACUGAGGUCAGGAGAUGGCACUAGUCAUAAAAUUAAUAUAAAAGCUAUUUAAGUAUUAUGGUAAAACAAAGGGUGUGUUGCACAUAUGGAGCUGAUUUACUAAUCGUUAUCAUUAACAAAACAAUUAUUACGAUUAGAAGUAGCUUAUACAGCAAAAUGUUUUGCUGGCUAACUAUUAUGCCCCAUGUAGGAAAGUGUGUUGCAUGUCCUGGUAGCAGUCUGAAGGGGGUAUAUAAAACCACUGUGUUUCCUCCACGUUCACCAGCAACUUCUCUUCAGUCUGGUUUUCUCUGUGAGCCUGGUUUACCUACAUCACAAAAGAUGUCUUCAGGAGGACAGCUCUUGAGCAGCAGAUGCGCUGGACCCUGCGAGGUCACCUGCCCAGAGCCCUGUGCCCAGGCCUGGAACCAGCCCUGUGUCACCUCCUGUGGGGAUUCCCGUGCCGUGGUCUACCCACCACCAGUGAUCAUCACCUUCCCAGGCCCCAUCCUCGCCUCUUGUCCUCAGGAGAGCUUUGUGGGCACCUCGCUACCAACACCCAUUGGGGGAGGGUUUUCAGGGGCACUAGGCUCUGCUGAAUCAGGAGGCUCAUUUGGCUCUGGGGGCUCCUAUGGAGGAGGAAGUUCAUUUGGGAUGGGGGGCUCAUAUGGAGGGAGUGGUUCCUUGGGCUCUGGGGGUUCCUAUGGAGGAGGCAGUUCAUUUGGGGGCUCACACAGAAGCAGAUCCUUCCGUUUUGGCUCCAACUCCCACGGCGGGGGCUUCGGGGGCUCCUUUGGAGGAGGCAGCUCCUACGGUGGGGGCUCCUUUGGAGGGGGCCGGUCCUUUGGAGGGGGCAGCUCUCAGAGUGGUGGGGGCUACUCUAGUUCCCGGAGGUUUGGUGGAGGAAGCUGUGGCUCUGGCUUUUUCUGAAGGGCCGUAUCUUGUGCUUCGGCAGCCCUGGGCUGUGCUGACCUCACAGGGGAAGCUGCAAGCCGGUGAUGUCCAAGUGAUCAACUUUGUUGGCACCCAUGGAGAUCCAUCGCUUCCCAAAGCCCUGGGAAAUGUCCUUUGUGCCUUGUGUGACUGUCUUCACCAAAUGUAUCCUGUACUGCUUCCCUGUAAUUAAAGCUAUGUUGCAUUCAGACUGAA